rnacentral:rRNA from 1 species
AGCCAUGCAUGUCUAAGUAUAAGCAAUUAUACAGCGAAACUGCGAAUGGCUCAUUAUAUAAGUUAUCGUUUAUUUGAUAGUACCUUACUACUUGGAUAACCGUGGUAAUUCUAGAGCUAAUACAUGCUAAAAAUCCCGACUCCGGAAGGGAUGUAUUUAUUAGAUUAAAAACCAAUGCCCUCUGGGCUCCUUGGUGAUUCAUGAUAACUCUUCGAAUCGCACGGCCUUGCGCCGGCGAUGGUUCAUUCAAAUUUCUUCCCUAUCAACUUUCGAUGUUUGGGUAUUGGCCAAACAUGGUUGCAACGGGUAACGGAGGGUUAGGGCUCGACCCCGGAGAAGGAGCCUGAGAAACGGCUACUACAUCCAAGGAAGGCAGCAGGCGCGCAAAUUACCCAAUCCCGAUUCGGGGAGGUAGUGACAAUAAAUACUGAUACAGGGCUCUUUUGGGUCUUGUAAUUGGAAUGAGUACAAUUUAAAUCCCUUAACGAGGAACAAUUGGAGGGCAAGUCUGGUGCCAGCAGCCGCGGUAAUUCCAGCUCCAAUAGCGUAUAUAAAAGUUGUUGUGGUUAAAAAGCUCGUAGUUGAACCUUGGGCCUGGCUGGCCGGUCCGCCUCACCGCGUGCACUGGUCCGGCCGGGCCUUUCCCUCUGUGGAACCCCAUGCCCUUCACUGGGCGUGGCGGGGAAACAGGACGUUUACUUUGAAAAAAUUAGAGUGCUCCAGGCAGGCCUAUGCUCGAAUACAUUAGCAUGGAAUAAUGAAAUAGGACGCGUGGUUCUAUUUUGUUGGUUUCUAGGACCGCCGUAAUGAUUAAUAGGGACAGUCGGGGGCAUCAGUAUUCAAUAGCGAGAGGUGAAAUUCUUGGACCUAUUGAAGACUAACUACUGCGAAAGCAUUUGCCAAGGAUGUUUUCAUUAAUCAGGAACGAA